GCUGUUUUAGUUUUUUUUUAAAAAUAUCUGAUUUGUAAUUAGGAGAAUUUUUCAGUU
rnacentral:tRNA from 1 species